GUGCCAGCCGCCGCGGUAAUACGAAGGGGGCUAGCGUUGUUCGGAAUUACUGGGCGUAAAGGGCGCGUAGGCGGCCCUCCAAGUCAGAUGUGAAAGCCCCGGGCUUAACCUGGGAAUUGCAUUUGAGACUGUGGGGCUUGAGUUUCGGAGAGGUGGGUGGAAUUCCCAGUGUAGAGGUGAAAUUCGUAGAUAUUGGGAAGAACACCGGUGGCGAAGGCGGCCCACUGGACGAACACUGACGCUGAGGCGCGAAAGCGUGGGGAGCAAACAGGAUUAGAUACCCUGGUAGUCCACGCUGUAAACGAUGAGUGCUAGACGUUGGGGCCCUUAGGGUUUCAGUGUCGCAGCUAACGCAUUAAGCACUCCGCCUGGGGAGUACGGCCGCAAGGUUAAA
rnacentral:rRNA from 1 species